GACGAACGCUGGCGGCGUGCUUAACACAUGCAAGUCGAACGGUAAGGCCCUUCGGGGUACACGAGUGGCGAACGGGUGAGUAACACGUGGGUAAUCUGCCCUGCACUUCGGGAUAAGCCUGGGAAACUGGGUCUAAUACCGGAUAGGACCUCGGGAUGCAUGUCCUGUGGUGGAAAGCUUUUGCGGUGUGGGAUGGGCCCGCAGCCUAUCAGCUUGUUGGUGGGGUGAUGGCCUACCAAGGCGACGACGGGUAGCCGGCCUGAGAGGGUGACCGGCCACACUGGGACUGAGAUACGGCCCAGACUCCUACGGGAGGCAGCAGUGGGGAAUAUUGCACAAUGGGCGCAAGCCUGAUGCAGCGACGCCGCGUGAGGGAUGACGACCUUCGGGUUGUAAACCUCUUUCAGCACCGACGAAGCGCAAGUGACGGUAGGUGCAGAAGAAGGACCGGCCAACUACGUGCCAGCAGCCGCCGUAA
rnacentral:rRNA from 1 species